GUGCCGGAGGUCGAGAUCAUCCAGAUCGUGGAGAAUGUGUGCAAACUGAAGAAAUAGGAGGCGGAUUGGACGCUCUGGAUCGAUAUCGUUGAGAAAGGCAACAGGCUGGAGGUUUAUGGAACUUUGGCAAUUGCUGAACUUGGGACCGAUCAUGCAGCAUAUCAUAUAGAAGAUCAUUUAGACCUUGCUUCAUGGGCAUAUAUAACAGUUAGCUUCACAAAUCAAGUUGUCACCAACUAGAUCAGAAGUUUCUCCAGAAUACAGCUUGGAGGAAUAUGUCACUGCUCUGGCGUCCGGUGGUACAGAUGCUCAAGAACCGGGAAUUACUCUGCCCGGUCAAGCUUCUGGAGCAGCACAACACAAGACACUGGUGCCUUCCUUGAAAGGAUUAGCAGCAGGAGUACUUAUAGCUGGUGUCUGAUCGUAGACCUGUCCAUACAUGAUGAAAGCCAACAGAAGUUGCAGCUGGGGAAGGAAGCACCGGAGAGUGGGAGCCGCAAACAGCUACUGCGACAGCGAGAUGGCGGUGUGCUCUGAGCACUGAGCUGCACAGGAGCUGCAGGCUAUCGCAAACUGAGGGAAACCGUCUGAGGCAGAGGUAGUCAGCUGGGUUACACCAUGCUCUUUUGAUGUGGGAUGUUCAGUGAACUCUGAUGUAUGAGUAGAGAGGGAACAAUGCAUGCUUCUGAUAGACUGUCCUGUUUUAUGCAAUGCAUUAUGGACGGGGGCUGAGGCCCUGGAACUCUAUAUUUGUAUCCCAUUAUGUUGUCUGUGAAGAUCGA